rnacentral:sRNA from 1 species
UCCAAUUUGGCUACAACACUGGGGUCAUCAAUGCUCCUGAAACGAUCAUAAAGGAAUUUAUCGAUAAAAGUUUGACGGACAAGACAAAUGCCCCUCCCUCUGAGGUGCUGCUCACGUCUCUUUGGUCCUGGUCUGUGGCCAUAUUCUCCAUCGGGGGUAUGAUAGGCUCCUUUUCCGUCGGACUGUUUGUCAACCGCUUUGGCAGGUAUUGAUUAGAAACUGGGCAAGGAAGUGGGCUCUACCAGCCGCAUUGAGGACAAGUGUGGAGAGUUAGGGCAGGGAGGUGAUGAUGCCUUUGAAUAAGAACACCUUGAAUUCUAAUCAAGGGAAACCUAGUCUAACUGGCCCCGAAUAUGACUGCCCUUGCUUGGAGCUCCACUACCCUGGCUAGCUCCCACCCAACUGUGCAAGAGAUGAACUGUGUGAGUGAUGGGCCUUUGCAGUCCAGCUAGGGAUAGUUCAGAAUUAUUCCCUAGUAAACUCAGCUAUGGGGUUUCCAGAAACAUACUUAAUUUACAAGGUCCAAAGUUGAUUACUCUUCUA